AACGCACAUUGCGCUCUCUGGUAUUCCGGAGAGCAUGCUUGUUUGAGUAUCAGUAAACACCUCAACUCCUUUAUUGUAGUUGGACUUGAGCUAUCCCAACAGGACUUUUGUUCCUGGCGGGAGGCUUGAAAUGCAGGUGCAGCUGGACUUUCUUCUGAGCUAUAAGCAUAUUUAUUUAGUCCCGUCAAACGGAUUAUUACUUUUGCUGCAGCUAACAUAAAGGGAGUCUGACCGUAUUGGCUGACUGAUGCAGGAUUUCACAAGGGCUGGCAACAGCUUCUUGUAAAACUCGAUCUCAAAUCAAGUAAGACUACCCGCUGAACUUAA
rnacentral:misc_RNA from 1 species